UAGCUCAGUUGGUAGAGCAGUUGACUUUUAAUCAAUUGGUCGCAGGUUCGAAUCCC
rnacentral:tRNA from 1 species